GGCGGCGUGCUUACACAUGCAAGUCGAGUGCGCGCCUGUAGCAAUACAGGUGGCGCACGGCGCACGGGUGCGUAACACGUGGGUAACCUGCCCUUUGGUGGGGAAUAACCCCGGGAAACCGGGGCUAAUUCCGCAUAAGAUCCGCAAGGAUGAAAGCCGUAAGGCGCCGAAGGAGGGGCCCGCGCACGAUUAGCUAGUUGGUAGGGUAACGGCCUACCAAGGCUAUGAUCGUUAGCUGGUCUGAGAGGAUGGCCAGCCACACUGGAACUGAGACACGGUCCAGACUCCUACGGGAGGCAGCAGUGGGGAAUCUUGCGCAAUGGGCGAAAGCCUGACGCAGCGACGCCGCGUGGGGGAUGAAGCUUCUCGGAGUGUAAACCCCUUUCGACUGGGACGAAUACCUCGCAAGAGGGGUGACGGUACCAGUAGAAGAAGCCCCGGCUAACUACGUGCCAGCAGCCGCGGUAAGACGUAGGGGGCCAGCGUUGUUCGGAAUUACUGGGUGUAAAGGGUUCGUAUGCGGUGUGGCAAGUCGGGAGUGAAAUUUCUGCGCUUAACUCAGAGACU
rnacentral:rRNA from 1 species